rnacentral:lncRNA from 1 species
CACGAUUUACGACGUCGGAUGUAACUUCUAUGGCAGUUGCUUUCUCCAGUGCCAGUAAUUUCCACCAUGUCCUAUAAAUACAAGAAGACAAUCAAUGGAGAAGAGGACAGAAAAAAAUCUCAUCAAGCAGGCACUUUGUCUAAUUUAAUUUGUGCGUAGUCAUAGCCUUUUUAGUUUGGAGCUAUCUCAGAACCUCCAUAAGAAUAACAGUAGAUAAAUUAAAUAGCUAUCAUAGACAUCGAAUACCCUCGUUCGAACUUUGUUUGAAAAGGUGCAAACCUUGUGUAUUUACCAUUUUAAAAAUGUCAAAAACGCAUUCAUUCUGUUCAAACAUAAAAAUUGUCCUAUCAAAACCAAAUAUGUGAAUGGAUCGCUCGAAUUUUUUUAAUGGGUGAGAGUAAUUGUUCAAAGCUAUGUGCGAAUUUAAAUUGGUGUUUCACUAGAGGUUUCAACGAUGAAAAAUUACAGAAGGCGAUCAACACCCAGCACAAUUUUGUAUUAGACCUCUUUUCCCAGCCAAACUAGCUAGUCUUGAUUCCUAGUUUCUAAACGUUUCUAGGGAUGGGGUUUUGGGUAGGAGAUCUUUCUUUGGCCAAGCUUAAAUCUCUAUUUGGGAGUUUCUGUAGCGUGGAGGAGUAACUUGAUAAGUUAAGGGCGGCGCCAGAGAGAAGGUUGCAGCGCGGUGGAGGUAAGUGGUCGAUGAAGAUGGUGAAAAUGGAAAUGAGGGAUUAAUUAUUAUUUUGUAAAAUAUAUUUUAUUGAAAAGUUGAUGUGCCAUUUUUACUAGUCAGAUAGAAGCCACGUAAGCUUUAUUUGUAUUAUUAUUAACAUUAUUAUGUCAUCUAUAUAAAUUAACGAUGUAUCAAAAUUUAAAAGAUUAUAAUAAAUCAUACCAGAUGAAUAAUUUGUAAAAGAUUGUGUAUAUUUAUGUAUUUACAUAAUAGUUCGUAUCAUUUAAAAAACAUUUCCCUUUAGAUUAAAGGUAAAACUCACUUUCCCCUCUAUUUGCUUUCUCUUUCCUUUUUCUCCCUUGCUUCUUGUCUUUCUGUCCCUUUUCCAUUAUUGUUUCCAUUCUUCAUAAAGUCUAGCUAGAAACCUCUUUGGGGGCAAAUCAUAAAAACAAUAUUAAAAGUAGGGUAUCAAUUCAAUUGUCCAAGACUCCAUAUUACCUCUUUGGUUAGAUGUUAGAUGUGUAUAGUUGCAGCAGCUGUGAAUCAUCACAUCCUAUUUUGCAUGGCUAGACUGUAUUCACCAGUAGCAAUAGUCAUUUAUUCUUCCCGUGUUUCUUUCUCUCUUGUCGUUUUCUUCCUCCUCUUUUUCAUGAUUCACAUAGAUACUACUACAAUGGCAGCAGCAGCAGCUGAUCAUCAGGAGGAGCAUAGUUAUGAGAAGAAAAUAUUAUCACAACAUGUUUCUGCAGGAAGAUAUGGCGAUGCAAGUUUCCAAACCAAUCCCAGACCCAGUAAUAGGAGGACUGGGCGUGGGUUUCGGCCAUUUCCGUGGCAAAAACAAGGCUCGAUGAUGUUCAAUGGCAGUGAGCACGAAGUUCCUAGCGGUCCCAACCCCAUUUCUAACAGGUGAUCAAUAAAUUAAAUGGGUUUCUUUGAAUUUUUUGGUUUCCUCUAGCUUCUUCAAUUUCUAUGGGCUUGGUUGGCGUUUUGAUUUGUUUGAACUUGAUGUAUACGGAUCAUUUAUUAGACAGCACUACUACUAUGUAUAUUGUUUCUUAAUUAGUCUCCUUAUGCUUAAUUUUUUUUAAGAUGCUACAUAAUUUUCGUCGGGUGAUUAACUACAGUUAUAUGUUUCAAUUAUUGGCCUCAUCAACCAAACCCAUUCAUUCAUGACCCUACUUAUCAAAUCAUGGAGAGAAAAUUAUAUGUUUAUUAAUUAUAUACAACUAUAUACACUAAAAAGGUCAUAAGUUUUCAUCUUAAUUAAUUAAUUUGGUGACCCGUUAUCAUAUCAGGAGGUAUAUGUUACUUAAUUACUCUUCUCUUCUUCCAUUACAUUAAUCUAAGCUGGUAAGAUAUGGCGCCACUUUUUUUUAACGAUCCAUUAUCAUAUAUUGAAGACAUAUAUGUUGUUUGUUGUUAUUUCGUUGUUAUAUAUAAUUUUGACUUUUAAUAUAUCUUAUAUAUAUUAAAAAGAAAAUUACGUACGAGAGUUGCCAGUGGCGAAUCCAGAGUAUGCUAUUGCUUCCCCUGAUGAAAUGAAGAGGUUCAUAGAGGUGUAGAAUUACGCUACCCUACUCAAAAUUAAGUGAUUAAUUAGAAGUAGUGUCAAUAUUAUUGUUGGAGUAGUAUGUGUCAAAACUUUGGUCUUGGUCCAUAAAGUUGAUAAUAGCACCAAACCCCAAAAAGAAAAGAAAAGAGAGCCAUGCAUGGAUUUUCGUGUAAAUACAAAUAAUCAAGAUAGGGGCCAUGGGAUUCGGGGGCUCCGGGGCAUCUUAAAUAAAGUUGCAUUUUGGGUAAUCCUUUCUGUUUAAACACAUUCCCCGAAAUAGCCCUCUUACGCUCCUCGUCCUUAACACACACACACACACCCCCCCUCCAUGUUUUACCAACAAAAGGGGCAGACCAAAACAAGAAAUGAUAGUUUGACCGACUAAUUUUAAUGGCCCUAGCUAUAUGGGUCUCCCAACACAACUACACUGCGAUGGAGCCCAGAAGAAUAGCAAACUUAGCUCGCUGCACCUAAGUCAUUAUUUAAUUUGGGGGCAUACAUGGUGUUGUUUUAGCAGGAUGGUUUAGAUUCCAUGUCAACCGUCCUAAUGAAGCCACACCGUUCAACUUCAAGAGUACUAAUACUGCUUUGUUAUUAUUAUGGAAGGAAGACUGUUAUAAUUAUUGUAGAGAGAACGUAAAAUUUCAUCUAGUACAUAUUCUUUGUCCAAUUUUUGUUUCACUGGUCAUGCAUGAACUCACUAGCUACUAUAUAUGUCACUUUAUAUGCAAGGAAUCCAUUCAAGUAUUGGGUUACCCUAACAUAAUCAAACCCCAAAUCGAAGGAUCAAUGACCUAACACUACUAUUGUCUACUCUUAAAAAGAAGAAUGAGAGUUAACAAUUAACACGUACGCAAAAUAUAGAAAAAGUUGGAAGAAACUCUUUUGUUUUCUACACCUUUGAAGUAAUUAAUGCACUACCAUGCGGUACGAUGUGCACGCAGUGACGUAGUAUAGUAGGAGCAGCGACAAUAAGAAUAGCCAUGCAUGCAUAUAUAUAUAUACUUUCUCCUCGAGAGAUUGUAUAUAAUAGCUAGCUGGCUGGGUAACAUACUAACAUGGUAUUGGCCUUUUAAUCCUGUACGUAUGUCCCAAGAAAAAAGAAGUUGCAUAUAUAAUAGACGAGGCAGGGCAGCUAUUAUAUCACACGUGAAAUAUAUAGCAUGCAACAGAGGGUUUCAUUAGGGUCAAUGGUUCUUCUAACUUCAUGCAGAAGUUGACAAGACCCCACCCAACCAACCCACCGUAAUGGACCAAUUAAAGCAAACAGAUAAAGAUAAUAAUCCCCGGCCCCACCCAGUUUUAACUUUUCAUCAUUAGCGCAACAUACCAUAUAUCUCUUUUUCCACCUUUCCUCGAAGUCGACUCCCGUCAAGCACCGGAACAUAAACUAUCAGGUGCAACUCGUAACAUAGUUUAGGGUUAUUCGAUCAGGUGCUGAGAAAUAUACAUGAAGAAUAUUAGAUUAAUCAAAGAAUGAUCAAUUCGUAAAAAGAAGAAGAAAGCAGAGGAAGAAUUGUAGAGAAGAGGAUAAGAAUGAGUAUGGAAGUCUGAGUUGAUUCAUUCAGUUGGUUGGGUUUUUAUAUCAAACCCAACGGUAACUUCAACAGUAAAACAAGAAAUAAAACGCGGGUAAAAACACGUGUCCCCGUUUAAUACAUCGAGAGUUAAAACGUAAAUGGAAAUAGACGGAAGAUCAAAACUCGUCGUUUCAUUUAGUUGCUUCUCUUCCAUCCAUCCACGUUGACUAACGGUCUUUUUUGACUCCAUUUGUUCUUGCUGCAUUCAACAAAGAAGGAAAAUAAAAGAGUCUAUCCUGUUGUUAUUCAACUCUUCAAUCUCUAUUGCGAGAUGAGAGGGGGUAGAGCAUCUGGUAAGAGCGCAAUCUACCUAUUACGCGUCCCAUUUGGCCUCCAAAACCAGCAAAUUGGUUCUGAAAAAGUGUAAUCCCUGUCUAGGUGAGUGAUUAACAACUCGUACCACUCACUGCAAAGCACCAAAAUGCUCUACUUGUUGUGGCGACUCCACGAACUAGCACAAGUAGUUAACAACGACCUGCAGGACUAGAGUAGGCAUGGCACUGGGUUCGGGCAGUGACGGAUAGUCAUCUUCCGAUCCCCGCCCCUCACUAUCACUGGGUUUCCCUGGUCCCGACUCCGGAGGCAAAACGGGGAUGAUUUCAGUACCUUCCCUGUCCCCAUCCGCUUACCGGAUUUUCGGGUUUUACCCGAGACCCGGUGAUAAUCAUCAGUUUUGUCGAUUCCAUCAGUGCACCCAAUGACCCAAGACAAAAAUAGUUUUGUCGGAAGCUGAAGUCUCUUGUUUUGUCAAUUCCAUCAAUACCCACCGAUGCAGAUUGCAGAAUGCAGAGAGGUAGACUACCGAGGAAGGAAGAAGAAGGAAAGGUGUAAAGGGAGAUAAAAAAUAAUAAAAGCUUAAGAGUUGGCUACAGCCUACACGCCUACACCAAAUAAAUCGUCAUUCUGUUACCAAAGGAGCCGAAAUUCAAUGUAUCUUAUUUUUAAUUGGUAUUCAAUUGUUUGUUUAGGGGUUUGGAAGAGUCAAAACCUAAUUAAUUAGGUUCAAUUUUUAAUUUAUUGGAGAGAUAUUACUGGCAUCGGGUAUACGGGGCAGAUACUUUAAUUCCGAUACCCUACCCGGACUCGGUUUAUUCUAGUAGCGGGUAUAUCAAUAUCCGUCAAAAACCCGUUCAAACGGGUCAAAAUCGAUCAACGCCAAACCUAGUCUGGAGGAGUAAUCAUCAAAUAAAGUAACUUGUCAAUAAUUCACCGAAAUUGACUCAGAUCCGGCUCGAUGGGUGUACUGUCAUUGCUCAAGAGGAAAGUUGUUCAUCUUAGAAUUCUUCCUCCCAUUUUCCAAUAGAAUAUCACGUGCAUACUUUUGUUGAUUUAGAGUCUGUUUCCUCCAGGUACUUAAUGAAAUCAUAUCAAAGGCAUGCAUAUGAAUUACCACUACUAGUUCACUUCAAAUCAACCUACCUAGUAAUAUACACAAGGUGUUCGGCGAAAUUCCUAGGCAAUUACAUAAAUGAAGCGUGGAUUUUACCCCGUUAAUCAAAUACCCACUAGAAUGAACUAAUGGAAUCAUAUUUCCCUAGGGUCUUUCUAACGCUAUUACUCAACUUGAUUAUGUUAACUAAACCAAGUAACAGUGAAUGAUUGGUUAUUUUUAUGUUGGUGUAUCAAACUAUCAACUAAUGACUAAAAUAAAACAUAUCAAAAUGCAUGAAAUCGAGUUUCAAAGAUUGGAUGAAGGUUGUUCGGACUUGAAUCUACAAUAGCUAGCAAUGCAUGGAUGAACGAUAUGCAAUCUCAAUUAUUCAAGUUAUAAUGGUUUAGCGAUUUCCUACGAUAGUCUUAGAUCACUCUCGCGCCUCUAAGGAUCUAUUUCGCUCGACCGUAGACUCCUCUCUCGAGCAGAACGCAUUAAAGGUGUUCGAUGAAAUGCCACAACGAUAAACGAUGCAAAAAGCCUAGAUUAAACGCUCCUCUCUUGAGCUAACAAGUAACCUAGAGUGCUUCUUAAGCGACCUAUUGAUCUACGUUCCUCUUGGACCCAUAAAUCAAUGACAGAGAUUCAUCAAGAUGAUCAGACAAUAGUUAAUCUAAAAUUAGUUUUUGCAAGAACACACGAUCAUCCUGAAUAACAUCACGAGACUCACAAUAUGCAAAAUUAAAUAAAAGAAAAGACUCAAUGCUUGGGUUGCCUCCCGAGAAGCACUCUUUCUUUUACGUCUUUAAGGUAGAUGAUACCUGGAUUAGGCCGCACAACUUUGAACCUUCUUGAAUUCCAUUAGUUUCUUCAAGGAUUGGAGUUGAAUGCCAAAUAGCACCCUUAGAGAUUGACGGAGAAGUCGGUGAAGUGGUUAUGAGUUCCAGUUCAUGCCUUCAAGUGGCAUUCUCUUCUCAAAUGUCACUGAUUGAGGAGGGAAUGGGUAGUAUGGUAUAUCGACACUUGUAUCCUCAACUAUCCAUGAUCCAACAAUGUAUCUAGAGAAGUCCUCUAGGGCAGGCAGUUCUGGUCCCGAGAUAGUAUCCUCUCGAAUCUUGUGUGUGAAGCACUCAUUAUCAGCUUCCUGACAUAAGUACUUCAUAAUCAAACAAGAAUCAAGAAGGGUCUCAGUUUCUCUUUAUGGGACCACAAUUGGAAGGGAACACCAAUUGAUGGAAUGCUCAAUGGUAGCUUGGAUGUAAUUAUGGAGAGGGUCUUCAUCUUGCAACAUCUCUUCCACAAACUCCUUGUCAAAUUUUUCUAAUUUCUCAUCAUGAAAAAUUAGGUUGUCUUCAAGGAAAGGUACUUCCUCCCUUUCAAACUAUUCUAACUUGCCAUCCUGAACAACUAGAUUAUCUUCAAAGAAAGGUAAUUCUUCUACCACUUCAUCUACUACUUCCAAUGAUACUCCCAAAUAAUAUUCAUCUUCAUAAUCGACUCUACUUGUGGUUGACGGUGUGAAUAUUGUUCUUUAAGGCGUGCCAAUAGCUGAUCAAACAUCUUUGAGAAUUCACUUUAUUGUAGCUCAGACAGCCUAAUUGCUUCGUCACCACUCUGUGCAAUAUAUUUCUCCAAUAGUGUAUUUACAUAUGUAUUCUCAAGUGGCUGAGGUUGAUAUGAUUCAUACCCUGAAUAUUGAUUUUUAAAGGGUGGACAGUCUUCAUUGUAGUUUUGACGGUAGAAGGUUGGUGAUGAGUCUUGGAAAAAAUAUGUUGGAGGUUGAUCAUGAUUCCUAUAUGAAUCUGAUUCCUGUCCAAAAUUGUUCCACUGUUGCUGUCCUCCUCCAUGAUUAGGUUAGUAGUAGUUUGGUGAACCUUGGCUCUCAUAAUAUUGGUUAGGUGAAGAGCUCCAACCUUCAUUGUAAUUACCUUCAGCAUAGAAACAUUGCCACUGUCCAUCCCAACUAUAAUCCUGCAUAAUGGAACUCAAAAGAAUCAACCCCGUAAACCAUGUGGGAGAAAACAUAUAUGAUAAGAAAAGUGAGGGAAUAGCUAACAAUCAAAAUCUUUCAUAGAAUAAGAAAAGUCCCCGGCAACGACGUCAAUUUGAAGCGCAGAUUUUACCCCGCUAAUCAAAUACCCACUAGAAUGAACUAAUGGAAUCGUAUUUCCCUAGGGUCAUUCUAACGGUAUUACUCAACUUAAUUAUGUUAACUAAACCAAGUAAAAGUGAAUGAUUGGUUGUUUUUGUGGUGGUGUAUCAAACUAUCAACUAAUGAAUAAAAUAAAACAUAUUAAAAUGCAAGAAAUCGAGUUUCAAAAUUUGAUGAAGGUUGUUUAGACUCGAAUCUACAAUAGCUAGCAAUUCAUGGAUGAACGAUAUGCAAUCUCAAUUAUUCAAGUAAUAAUGGCUUGGCGAUUUCUUACGAUAGUCUUAGAUCACUCUUGCGCCUCUAAGGAUCUAUCCCGCUCGACCGUAGACUCCUCUCUCGAGCUAAUUUACACCCAAGCAGAACGCAUUAAAGGUGUUCGAUGAAAUGCCACAACGAUAAAUUAUAUAAAAAGCCUAGAUUAAACGCUCCUCUCUAGCUAACGAGUAACCUAGAGUGCUUCUUAAGGGACUUAUUGAUUUACGUUCCUCUUAGACCCAUAAAUCAAUGAUAGAGAUUCAAUCAAGAUGAUCAGAUGAUAAUUAAUUUAAAAUUAGGUUUAGCAAGAACACACGAUAAUCCUGAAUAACCUCGAUAGCAAUAUCAAAGGUUUAGAAACCCAUUAUCCAUUCAAAAGCUAAGCUAAAGUUUCAUCUAAUCCAAACAACACAAAAGGUUUAGCCGCUCAUGGUUUAAAAUAAAUCACAAGAGAAGAGAAGAAAAACCGGAGAAGACGACAUGUUAUUCGUGAAAAUCCCAAUGUUAGACUUGAUGAUCUUCACCAAUUAUGGUUGAUCCUCUCACUUCAAUUAUCUCUCUGGAAGUCUAGCUCUCUCUAAGAGCUCGAAAAUACGUGUAUUAUGAAGUAUAUCGAAGUAUAUAUCGUCCAUAGGGGGUCUCGGGGGGUAUAUAUCGAAGUAUAUAUCGUCCAUAGGGGGUCUCGGGGGGUAUUUAUAGGCUUCUAGGCCAAGUUAGAGAUGGAAAAGCUUGAAAAAUUCCGUCUGAAGGAGGGACACGCGUGUUCCUAAAGGACACGUGUGUGUUUCCUCCCAACAGAGGCUCUCGGGUUGCUUUCCAGAGAAAAGGACACGACCGUGUUCUUUAAGAACACGCGGUGUUCCUUAAGGAUACAGAAUUUGACAAUAGCACCAAUACAAAGGUUGUAGAAUUAUCUUUCCAACGUCGCUGAUCUUACAUCAAUUAGACUUCUGAGCAAUGAGUUAUGAUCAAAAUACUAAACAGUGACGGUUACUUCCAAAGUCGAACGUUUUGAGUUCUUCCAGCCUUCUCGUCAUGUCUUGGUUCAUCUCUAAGGUCAUAUGACACUUGAAAUGUACCAAAAACAUACCAAACACCGUAACACGGCCCCAAGGGGCAUGAGAACCAAACAUGUACUCAAAAUCCGAAAUUUGUAUAUAUUUCGACAAUAAAAAUAUAGUUUAUAACUAGAAAAAGUGUGUCAAAAAUAAAUCACAUCAAUUAUCUUAAAGACACCACAAACACAUAGCAAGGAGUGCUAGUCACCAUUUCACACCCCAAACAUCCUAAUUCCUCAAGCAUGUCACCAUUUUAGUGAUUCCGGAAUGCACCCAAGUGUUCGAUGAAAUAUCCCUAAAGAAAUCUUAGCACAAAAGGUUGAAUUGAGGUGUGGGUUGGUCCACACACACCUUACAUCAAUCUUGGAUGAACAACUAACACAAUCUUAGGAAAAUUCAUUCAAAGGAGAGUAUUGAUUGGACCUACUUCAAGCCACAACAUAAGUUAGGUUGAAAACACCAUAAUUCAAGCACAUCACUAUCAUAAUAAGUAUCCAACAUGUCUAACCCCUCAUGACGAGGGGAUCAUCCUAGCAUCCACAUACACCCUAAUAUAACAACACAAAAGGCCUAGUCAAUCAUCAUGAAACUACAACUAGGAGAAAGAGAUAAAAUCACCAUCAUUCUCUAAGUAUGAAGAAGGAGAUGAGUGUACUAAUCUUCACUCCAAGCUCUAGUAUUCCAAGUCUUUAAUCCUUGUUCUUCAAAUGCUCCAAAUCCUCUUCAAUCGCUUCCAAUGGUGAGUGGUAGAGUGUGGAAUUUUGGACUAGGGAUUGCAAUGGAUGGAAUUGGAAGUUAUGUUCCCUCUCAUUUGGGGUUGUAAACACCUGCCAGACCAUCCACACGACAUGUGGGAUGCCGUGUGGUCUUUUUCUAGACUUGACGGUUUUCUUCUUUUGCUCAUUAUUCACUCAUCUGACGUUCGGUUUGUCUCACUCACUUUGUAUCGAUGGCCUCUGUCCAGCGGAUAAGUGAAAUCUAAAAAAUAGAUGAGAAAACAAGACGAAUAGAUCAAAACAGUCUGUUCGAGAGAACACAACAUAAAAUCCUUAUUUUCAUCCACCCAUCACAUCUCAAUGGUCAAGAAUCGGUCGAACCGAUUUGAAAACAUGUCAAGAUGAGGCUGAAUCUCAUACCAUAAGUAGUGCUAUCAAUACUUAUCAUAAAGAAAUAAUCCAAUCGAUCGUCAGUCCAUAGGCUUGGCAAUCUCGACCGCUUAACCGACCAUAACCUCACCAAAUUUGACGAUUAUUAACCGCCUUGACUGGGUAUUUUGAGGUUACGGUUAUAACUGUUAACCGCUAGGAACGGGUAAGGUUAGGUUAUCGGCUUUGUAGUAACCGCACCAUCACUCUAACAAUACCCAUAACCAUCACCAACCCGCUAUAUAACAACAUUUACCCAUCAAUACAUGAGCCUAAUAAGCCCACUAGAUAACCUAAAUGUACAUGAAAUUUAUCGAUAAAAUUAAAACUAAUUCUUAUACUCAUUCCUUCCUCAAAAAUAUCUCAUUUAUCGUCUUCGUCUUUGAUGAUAUCGUAGUUCUCAUUUUCGAUAAAAAUCAAUCAUUAUUUUUCGAUUGAAAAUAUCCCAACCACCACCUUACAGAUGAAUUAAAGUGAAUGCAUUUUUUUAUUUUGAUUUUUGUAUUUUUACAUAACGGAGAGUGGUUAUAACCGUUGGGAGUGGUUACAACCGUUAACCGUAUGGGAUGGUGAUGGAAUUAAUUUUGUCACCAAAAUUGAAACGGGGAUGGUUAUGAUUAAUAACCGCUAUCAAAAUGAAUAGAUAAUGGGUAUGUCAUAACAAUCUCCGAACCUCCCCGUUGCCAAGCCUACCAAUCCAUACCACGAAAAUAGUAGAGGAACUUUUCUCACUGAUUUCCCCCCUCAUUUGUUUCUAAUCAUAAGAUCAAAUUUCCGAAUUUAAAUGGUUGCGAUGAAUCCUUGAAAUUUUGAAAUGUGCAUUGUUGAUUUACACGGGACAAGAAGUAAAUUUAUUAAUAAAUAUUUAUUUCAAUUUUCCUCUCUUUUCUCCAAUUUUCCACUUCACUUGGUAUCAUUUUGAUCAUCUCCUCCACACAAUUAGAUUUUAUUAGUUUCUUCCUCGCCUUUGGAUCAAUGUGUCAACAGGUUAAGGUGAAAGCUCAAUCAGCACCCAAGCCGAAUUGCUUUGUGCAUUUCUUCUGUUUCUUAUUUUCUUAAACCAUUUCCAAUGCAAGGGCUAAAGUCCUAAAAAUUAAAAUAUAGGACUCAAAUGCUCUCUAAUGGAAGUCCUAUAAAUACAUAAUCUAAAAUUUUAGGGACUUUUUGGGCUAAAUAUAGACUGACAGUAUAUAUUGAGGGAAUAUGACUUUUGGGGCUAAAUGCUCUCCAUUCCGCACACUCUCUCGUUCUGGCGUGUGAUACGAAAUUUCCAAAUUAGUUUGCCAAUCCUGAUGUUGCCAUGUGGUAGAGUGACUCCAGUACCUUCCAAUGUCACAUUCCCCAAAUCCAGUCACCCAGCUCGCCAUGUUUGUCUGCCUCGGCCAAAACAAUCGAUAAAAAACCCACCUCCUGCCAGAAGUUUGUACCCAACUACAUCCAAUAAACAAGUGCUAUUCCUCCUUGUACCCAUGACCACAUAUGCCACAACUUCCCAUCAGAUUCACUUCUCGUAUCCUCAACCUAUCUCAAGUGGGUAAAACCUCACAAGCGAGACACCAUACCAGAUGUAACAUUUUGGAUGGAGUUGAUUGAUGUGUUCCACAAUGAUCUCCAUUCGCCCAUUUGAUAGUGUAUAGUACGAUCGACGUCUUGCUCCAUGUAAACAUAUACGACGAUCGAACAGUGUAUUGCCUGUUUUUGCUGAACUUCCAUAACCGCUUAUCAACUUUGGAUGCCAUGAAAGCUGGGAAAGCUAGAAUGAGUUAUGUGUCUACGUUGAGAGAACAGUUGUCAAAUCGCUGGUGCAUUCCAAGCAUGUGUUUCAGGAAUAAUAAGAUCACUAACCGUAAGAUAAGGACUAAUCGUUGGAGCUGUGGUUUUGAUACGAGGAUUCUGCAUAUCCUUUAGCCAAGGAUCUCACCAUACAUUAAUCUAGGCUCCUUCUCCAAUCCGGUAUAUAUAUUUGCGUUGCGGUAGUAGAUGCGCAUGACACAAGCUUCACCAGACAAAGCUAGGAUGAUAACCCAAUUUUUUCAUUAAAAAUUCACCCAAUCGGAAAUAUUUUACUCGAUAUAUGUGCACAACCAACAUCUCUGGUUGAGAUAAUAACCACCAAGCCUGUUUCCCUAGUUAAAGUCGCAUAAGUCCCAAAAACCCAUGUCCGUAUGUUCUUUAUUGAUUGCCUACAUCUCCCACUUCAUCCAAGGUAUGUCGCGCCCUGUGGUUCAUUUUGUCGCCCACUAGAAAUAAUUCAUCAUCCGUUCUAGCUCUAAAGUCAGUGCAGGAAGCAGAAGAAAAAAUUCAUACUGUAAGACGGUAACGGUUGCACCACCGCUUUAAUACGCAUCUCUUUGCCUCAUUUAGACAGCUUUUUACCUUGCCAGGAUUGCAGUAGCUUCCAAACACCUUCGUGUAUAGCCUUAAACGCCUCAUUUUGCUUCCUCCCCACCAAUGCUGGAACACCUAAUUAUCUCCAAAUAUCCAAUUUGGACCAAACUCCCAGAAUGCUUGAGAUCGCCUGGUCGAGCAUAGUAUCAGUUUCCGUGCUAAAAACCACCCCAGAUUUGGAAAAGUUCAACAACUGACCGAAAGCUGCAGCGUAUUCCUUCAAAAUAAACUUCAUGGUACGGGGCUCGACAAUCUGUGCCCGGAAGAAGGAAAUAGAAUCAUCUACAAAUAGAAGGUGCGAGACCAGUGGUGAACCAUGACACACUCGCUAUCCGUGCAACUUUCACCGUCGUGAGGUUAUAUGAAUCAUGACUCACAAGGGGAAAUGGGACAUCCUUGAUCUAAACCCAGUGUGUUCUCAUUUUUCCAAACAACUUAUUAUUAACCACUAUUCAGUACACCACCAACCGCACGUGGAGUGACAUCCAAUGUACCUACACAUUUGAGAAUUCCAUCUCAGUGAACACCACUUCCAUAUACUCCCAUUUAACCCGAUCAUAAGCCUUAGAAAUAUUCAGUUUCAGAGCUACAUCGUAACUAUCGUAAGCGCUAUAGUGGUCAAGUUAUGCAGAGAUUUGAAAGUGAUAAGAAUGUUGUAACUAUUGAUUGACCACUCACAAAUGCAGAUUAUUCUUCACGGAUCAGGAUGACACUUCUUGUCGGAGGUGGUUGGCGAGAAAUUUAGCUAAAAUCCUAUACAGAACAUUACAUAGCGAGAUGGGCAUAAGUCUUGCAUGCGUUCCGAUUUUACCAGUUCAGGUAGCAAGAUAAUAUUAGUGGCCUGCAUAGCCUCCAAAGUUUGGUUCAUAGACAACCAAUUUGAACACUCAUUGAUUAUCAUUGGACCAAUAACAUCCCAAAACUCCUUAUAAAUGGUUGUGUUGAAACCGUCAGGACCCGUCACCUUGUUGGGACCCAUUGAGAACACCGCCUCCAAGAACUCCAACUCUGUAAAUGAAGUGAUCAUGGCUUCAUUUUUGUUCCAUGACAAGACGUAUAAUUCAUGGAAUCACAUGGCCAAGUCGGCAACUGUGAUAGGUGAAGAGCUCCUGAAAAUUGUACCCAUGUACAUUACGUAACCUACCAAGCUCUUAUGCCUUCUCCGUCCACCGAGUGAAAACACGGUGUGUUCCUAUUACUGUCCCUAGCCCAAUUCUGUUUAGCUCUCUGGCCUCAAAACACACUUUAAUCAAGCAAGAUAGCAAAAAUUUAGUUAUGGUCUUCUGGAGUUCCGGUUCGACCCAUGUGUACUAAUCCACAACGUUCCACUAGAUCGAAACAUCAAUCUAAGAGAUACAUAUACAUAAACAUAACUAAUCAUCCUGUAUUUCUUUAAUAAAACUUAGUGACCAAAAAGGCCAUUAAAAAUCUCAACAAAUCCAAAUAUAUACUCCCCCAGUGGGGAAAACAUUCAAUAUCUAGUCAAAACAAAAAUAAAACUAGUUUGGAAACAAAGGUUUAUCCCAAGAACAAUGAGUCUGAAACAAUAGGAAAAAUAGUAAAAUUAUCGGGAUUGAACAUCCUCCAAGUACCUCGCUCUCGAGCUCCCGAAGCCUCUUGAUGGAGAUACCAUUAACACACGCCUUGCCGUCUUAGAAGGCAUUGACUCAUGUAAGACCGGAGCUGCAAAGAUACACAUAUAUAAACGGGAUCAGUGAUAUUCACUGAGUGUCUAGCCAAAUACCACGCAGAACAGUGACUAGAAAUCAAUAUAGAUGUCACUUAAACAUAGAACAAUCAUAACACCUUUGGUCCACAUUUUGGGAGCCAUACAGGUUAUAUUCGAUUAGAGCAGAAUUCUUAUUUCAAAAUUUUGAAAUUUUCCAGUUAUGUGUCAAAUAUUGCGCCUUAUCUGGAAAUUACUUCCCGACCAUUAUUUAAAAUUCGUAGGCGCAAUCUUUUACAAACAUAGACAAUUUUGCAAUCCUACAUUACGGCUUGCUAUGUCAAUAAACUUCCAGUGUUUUAGGCACAAUCUUUGAAUCAGUUUAGGCGUAGUCUUCAACUAAUUUCAGUUUUCAAAAUCAAGAAGCACUAGAAAAGAAAUUUCUUAGCAUAGAUCGGUUCAAGUAUUGUUGAUUGCUUUGAUUGAUAUAUUUCUCAUGAAUCCUAGCCUUAAAAGAAUCGUUGCUAGUUUUAAUACCUUAGCUCAAAAAAUUACUUCUCUAAAUUGUUAUCCGUUUAAAUUGAGUGGAAGACAAGUGAUAAAACAAUGAGUGGUGAGAUUAGAAGAUUAGGUUGAGAUUGUGAGGUCCAUUAUUGCACUAACAAUGUUUUGUGAGGUGCGACAUCAAUGGACGGAGAUACGAUAGAGGCUUAAGAUUAGCCGCAUGGCCCAACAUCAAGGCACCAAACCAAGGCCACCCGUCAAGUCCACAUCAUCUGAAUCGACAUCGCAUACGUCAAUGGGAUGCGGAGCAAAGGAGAUCACAAGAAAAGAGGAGUACCAACAAUGAGAGAACCUCUUUCAAACCCAUUGCAUCAUCAACAACUUCGAGUCCAACCUAGUGAUUGAUGGUGGGAGUUGCACCAACGUGGAUAGCGAUGUACUAGUGAAGAAGAUGGGGUUGCACAGGAUAAAGCACCCAAAGCCUUACAAGCUUCAAUGGAUCAACGAAGGCGAAAUCAAAGUGUUGAGGCAAGUAUUUUUACCUUUCAGUAUCGGUAAAUAUUCUGAGGAAGUGCUAUGUGACGUCGUAUUGCUGGAGGCCGUCCAUCUGUUACUCAGAAGACCAUUGCAGUUUCAUAGGCACACCAUGUUCUAUGGAAGAACUAACAAGUACGUCCUCACACAUGGAAUGACGACACACACGUUGAAGGCCCUUACAUCCUUCGAAGUUCAUUAAGAUGUAUUGGACAAACGGAAAGCACGAGUGCAACGAGAGAAAAAAGAGAGGGUGCUCAAGAAACAAGAGAUGAGAGAACAAAGGAGAGCUAACCCCACGAGUGUAAAAAUAGAAGUUUCUAGUCAAGAGCUCAAAACAAGUGAGGUCUCGAGGAGAGAAAAGAAGUCAAAUACACCUAAUGGGGAUAGCCAAACAUUAGUGGAUAGGAAGUCCCUUGUGGUGCCAAACCACAAGGAGUGUCUAGAUUUAACAAACGUGCCAUAUCCUCUUCCUAGUGUUGUCUCUUCUAAUUUGUAGGAAUUCGAGGGUGAUCAUUUGGGAGCAUCCUCUACUCUUGAUAUUAAGACCAAAUGUGUGCCUAGACAUCCCAACAAGACAAAAACAAAUUGGACGGGACAAAAGAGCUACAACUACACGUGAAAUAGUCGAUGAGGAAUGAGUCCAAGAUGAUGAUUCAAGUCGAGCUACAACGAGUACCACCAAGCAUUUGCUUGGAAAUUUUGGCAAAAAAUACUGAUAAGUCUUCGUAUCGUUCCCUUUUGAAUAUGAAUCUUAGCAAUCUGAUUUAUGAAGGUUUGAAUGUUUGGGUUAGAAAUACAGAAUCGCCUAUGCGUUUGAUGAUUAUAACUAGUUAUAAUAGGAUAGGUUCGAUACUGUCUAUCUUUGAGAUCAUAUCAUAUUUUUCUCAUUUAGAGUAUAACAUCAAUCUGCCUAAGGAUAAGAAUAAGUGGCUUGAGUCUAGUGGCCCAUUAAAGUAUGCUAUAUAGCUUGUUUAUCGUAGCGAUGUGAAUCUGAUUAGUAAAUGCAAAAUGCUUGUGAAUACUAGUCAUGAACUAUUUAGGUGGUAAGUGAUGAUCCGUGAACUUGCUAAUGCAUUUAGCACUGACAUAAGAACUUACUACUUUCAUUUGCUUGUUUAGAUGACGACUUUCAUGGAUUUUCACAUAGAAAAUGCUAGUAGUAUUAUAAAUUUUUUGGAAUGUGCAUUCUCAUAUCAUGUUAGGAGAGCAUGAGUAUAUGGACGUUUNNNNNNNNNNNNNNNNNNNNNNNNNNNNNNNNNNNNNNNNNNNNNNNNNNNNNNNNNNNNNNNNNNNNNNNNNNNNNNNNNNNNNNNNNNNNNNNNNNNNNNNNNNNNNNNNNNNNNNNNNNNNNNNNNNNNNNNNNNNNNNNNNNNNNNNNNNNNNNNNNNNNNNNNNNNNNNNNNNNNNNNNNNNNNNNNNNNNNNNNNNNNNNNNNNNNNNNNNNNNNNNNNNNNNNNNNNNNNNNNNNNNNNNNNNNNNNNNNNNNGUUUCUAUGCUUAGUUAUGAUGUUUUGCCUACUAAACUCGUACUCUGUAAAUAACUUACCCUAUAAUUUGACCUAGCAUCUCGGUUAUGUGACUACAUGACAUUAUAAUAUACUAUCAUUUUGUAUACAUGUGGCUUCCAAAAAAUGUCUUUGUUGCUACAAGAGAAGUUGAGAGAAUAGUAACCCCAAAGAGCCAUGAAACAACCAUGAAAUUGAACCUUGUUUGGAGUAAUGAAAUAGAAGAAGAUGAAGGCAUGGAUUUGAUGGUUAGAAGUUCCCAAUGCCUAACAAAGGAACCAGUACCAUGUGGAAAACCAUGAGUGACAUAUGAAAUGUAUAAUGAACAGACACGCAAGGAGCACACCCUAACUAUGCAGGGAAGUUCCUAAGUUAACAAUGAGAAUUUUCAAUAUUUGCAUGAUGAUUGUGAAAUAACUCAUGUGUUUGAUGUAUGGACAGAUACGAGGACGAUUCUUUUUUAAGAGGAAGGGCAUGAUGAUUUCAUCCAACGGUCCCAAGCCAUGAUGCCAAAUCUUUGAAAAGUCGAGACCAUUGAGAGGAAAUCAACAAAAAGCUCACUGGACUCGAAGAACCUUGGAGCAAAAGCAAGCAUUUCAGAGGAGGACUCUCGACGAUGGAAGUUAGGACGUCCCUCCCAUGGAUUAAUGAACUUAAAUUCAUACUUGUUGAAAUGGCAAUCCAACGAGUGGCACUGAUGCGGUAAGCAGCAUUGAUGCGGGCAUAUACAUCGAGUCCGCAUAAAAAAUCAAGACAGUUCAAUAGCACAAGAAGGAGGAGACUUUUCUCAACCUAUCUUCGGACCCGGCCUAUAUUAUGAUGUAAGGAGACCCUCCACCAACUAAUGAAUGGAUUUUACAUGCCACCAAAUAUCCACUAGGUUGCUCUAAUGUAAUCGUUUAUUUCCCUAUGGUCUUUCUAAUACUAUUACUCAACUUAGAUGUGAUAAUUAGACCAGGUGACAAUAUGGGUUUGUUUGUUUAAGUGUCAAUAUAACGAAUUAUAAACUGAGAAAUAAAAUAAAUGAAAGUAAAAUGCAAUAAAUCAAGUUUCAAAUAUGGGAUGGAAAGUUGCUUAGACUCACAUCCAUAAUAGCUAACGAUGUAUGAAUGAAUGAUAUACAAUCUCAAUUACACAGGUAAUAAUGGCUUUGCAAUUUCUUAAGAUAACAUUAAACAGGCAGAAUAGAUCAUGAGAUAACAAAUAUAGGUAAAAGAUCAAAAGGAAGCUCUAGAACUAACUUCUAGCGAGAUUUUGGAGCAAUACGAGCAUAUGAAACUAUCUCCUUUCCAGCUAGUCAUUUACUUCUUCGAGGAGAUGUUAAGUCUGUAAUUUUGUCUACACAACAAGAAACAACAAUACCGAGUAAUAUAUAAAUGUGGGAGGAAAAGAGAUGAUAACAAAAGUGAGGGCAUAACUAUCAACAAAAUCUUUCCUAGAAUUAGAAAAAGUUCCCAAGCAACUGCGUCAAUUCGAUGAACCGAUUUACACAUCACCAAAUAUCUACUAGAUUGCUGUAAUGGAAUCGUUUAUUUCUUUAGGGUCUUUCUAAUACUAUUACUCAAAUUAAAUGUGAUAACUGGGCCAAGUGACAAUAUGGGUUUGUUUGUAUAACUGUCGAUGUAACCAAUUAUAAAAUAAGAAUUGAAUUAAAUGAAAGUAAAAUGCAAGAAAUCGAGUUUCAAAUAUGGGAUGGAAGGUUAUUUAGACUCAAAUCCAAAAUAGCUAACGAUGUAUGAAUGUAUCAUAUAUAAUCUCAAUUAAACAGGUAAUAACGGUUUUGCAAUUUCCCGAGAUGACCUUAGACCACUCUCAUGAAUCUAAGGAUAUAUUCUGCCUGACUGAAGACUCCUCUCUUGAGCUAAUCAUCACCCUAGUAGAACGCACUACGGGUGUUCGAUGAAAUGCCACAACGAUAAACGACAUCCUAGACGAAUCGCUCCUCUCUUGAGCUAACGACGAAUCUAGAAUUCUUCCUAAGUUUCCUAUCAAUUACCAUUCCUCUCGGACCCACUAAUCGAUAACAAAGAUUCAAUCAAGACGAUCAAGUAAGAUUAAAUCUGAAAUUAUAUCCUGAAUACCAUGAAUAACAAAAUAAAAGGGUUAGAAGACAUCACAAAUUGUUUAGCUAAUUAUGGUUCUGGAAACAAGACACCAAGAAGAAAGGAAAACAACUAAGAAGAAGACAUCUUUCGACGAGGAAUCUCUAACUUAUCACCGAUCUUCGAUCCGUGUCCAAUCAUGGAUGAACUCUUAUUUCCAAUCGUGGAUGAACUCUUAUUUCAAUCGCUUUGUAAAACUGUUUCUCCCUCUAAAAGCUCUAAAAUCUAUCUAAAAUUAUGUGUCUCUCAUCCAAAUGGGUGUCAGGGGUAUUUAUUGGCUUCACGACCAUGUUAGACUAGGAAAAAGCUGGAAAAUCCCAUCAGGAGGAAGGACACAGAGUGGUCCCAAAGUACAUGAUGUGUUCCUAUAGAACACGGAGUGUUCUUAGAAGACACGCUAGUGUUCCUUGUGAAAAAUCUCUCGGCCGUUAGCUCCAGAAGAAAGUGCACGGCCGUAAUCCACCACCUCAUCCACUUGUUUGCUAGUUACGGUAUCUCGCACCAUUCCUCUACUGGAUCUAUAGGUGUGAUCACCAACAGAAACAUGUAGAUCUUCUAUGACAUGGAGAAGAGGAUCGGCAUACAUUUGGGAGACUUGGUUCUAACUCUCUUUAAGCAAUUAAAGAGCCUCUCCAUGCAUGUCUUACUGUUUUGAGGAGGGUUUGUCAGCUUGUUAGUCCGUAACACUAGAGUGAUGGACAUCUUUGAGUCUCCACCAGUGAAGCCUCCUCCUUACGACUUCUAUCCAAAUGAGUUGCUGAGAAAUGAAAUUUAAGGCCAACUUGUUGAGGAGCUUGACACCAUAGCUACAGCUCAGGGAUCCACUGCACCAACUACUAAUUUUUCCUCUCUACAGGCUUCCAUGGAGCAUCUUGCUAUCGAGCAAUAUAGUUCGGAUGAGAGAGCUCAGUAUGAAGUUCUAGGGAUGAGGAGUAUAGGAGAUCCCAAGAUGAUCAGUUGGGAUACAUCAAGCCGAAUCUGAGAGAGCUACAUAGCGACUGAAGACUCCUCUCUUGAACUAUUCUUCACCCAAGCAAAACAUAUUAUAGGUGUUCGAUGAAAUGCUAUAACAAUAAACGAUGCAAAAAGCCUAGACAAACCGCUCCUCUCUCGAGCGAAUGGGGAAUCUAGUGUUCUUCCUAAGUGUCCUAUCAAUUAUUGUUCCUCUCGCACCCACUAAUCUAUAACAUCGAUUCAAUAAAGAUGAUCAAGCAAGAUUAAAUCUGAAACUAUGUUUUAGCAAGAACACACCAUUAUCCUAAAUAAAAUCGAUAACAUAAUCAAAAGUUAACAACCCAUCAUCUAUACAAAGUCUAGACUAAAGCUUCAUCUAAUCUAAACAGCACGAACCUUGGUGUCUGUACUAUUACUCGUGCCGAGCUCCCCUUAGCUAUUCAUGGUCGUCGUCUUGCCAGGGAUAGCGGAUACAAGAAGGUCAAAUCUUCAGGUGGACUCAAUGGUUGUGGUUUAUAUGCUAAUAAGGAUUCCCUUAGUGAUGCUCGUCAUUCGACGAAUAUUAAUGAGCUGAAGCAUCUCCUUCGACGUAAUUGAGAUGUUCGGGUUACACACACUUUUAGAGAAGGCAAUCGAGUUGUCGAUCUCCUUGCCCAUCCGAGGCAUUCUCUCCCUUUUGGUUUUCACCCAAUUCUUUCUUUUAUAGCUGAGUUAUAUGAUUGUAUCCAGGCAGACUCUAUUAAGGUUGUGUUCCCCCAUUUUGUUCCUAAUUAAUAAUAGCGGACAUUAGUCCACCCUUUUACCAAAAACAAAUUCUGACAACAUGAAGAGUUUAUCUGUUCAUUGUUCUGGAAACAAGAAACUAAGAAGAACGGAAAAUAACCCGAGCAGAAGACAUCUUUCAUCGAGGAAUCUCCAACUUAUUGCCGAUCUUCGAUUCGUCUACAAUCAUGGAUGAACUCUUACUUCAAUCAUUUUCUAGAACUCUUUCUCUCUCUAAAAGCUCUAAAAUAUGUCUAAAAUAAUGUGUCUCCCACCCAAAGGAGUUUUAGGGGUAUUAUAGACUUCUCGACUAAAUUGGAGUAGGAAAAAGCUGGAAAGUGCCGUCUGGGGGAAUGACACGAUAGUGUUCCUUGAGAAAAAACUCUUGAUCAUAAGCUCCAAAAGAAAGGAUAUGACUGUGUCCUUAUGGAACACUCCAUGUUCUUCUCUUUUUUCAGCACUUUUUAGUUCCAAGCAACUCUAGUCUCUCAUUCUGGUUCCCGUUUGUUCCUAAGCGCCGUACAUCACCUGAAAUGCACAAAAACUCGCCAAACAACAUAACACGACUGAAAGGCCAAGGGAAAAAAUAACCAUGUACUCAAAGUCAUGAAUUUGAUCAAAUUGCGACACCCAAACAUCCAAAAAUAUUGUUUAAGAUGGGAACGAAUGGCCAAUUAUCAAGCAUAUUAACCCUUCCCCCCCCCCCCUUCCCUCACAUCAAAUUGCACCAUCUCUAGACAAGAAGUAUAAUGGGGAUGGAGAAUUACAUCCAAUUCGUCUAGAGAAUCUAAAUCAACAAUAAGAAUCGAGGCCACCAAGUGGACCCGCUUUGCCGAUGUCAGUGUCAUUGAAACGAGGCCUCUUGUAUCCAUUAAAGUCUGAGCCUAUUUUGCUCCGCCCAAAAGUUUUCCAAUAACUCAAGGGGAUACCAUGGAUAUCCAUGGCCCGAGCCAAGGCCUAUUACCUAUCAUCAACCCUAUGACCCACUAAGCCCACUUUUGGAGCUUAAGUGACCUCUAUUUUUUAUUUUUGUUUUAGGAGUUUACUUUGGGCUUUGUAUUCAGACUUAGAAGCUUUAGUUUAGGCAUAAAAAUCCCUCUUGAAGAGCUCUUUGGCCUAUUUUUAUCCUUAAGAAGCAAGGGUUGACCUAGUCAAAACUUGAUCCUUAAGCAACACGGAAUACUUGCUUUACAAGGCAAGGAGUCAUUUUCCUUAUCACAUUGUGUAAUUUUCGGCCCUCUCCUUACUUAUAAAAGGAGAGCUUAGGCCAUUAUUUUUUACACCAUCCCCAAAAUUAAUAAAGUAACUUUUGGCUUAUGCUGUUUUUUAUUUCGUGUUGUUCGAAGCACGUCUUUGCUAGCAUAGAGGAUUCCGGUAUAUUGUAGUCAAGUUAUCAUCCCCUCUUUGUGGCACCGUUCGUAUUGAGACUUAGACCACCCUUCAACUAGAGUUGAUUGGUAGGAAAAAUAACUUUCCAUCCGGAUGUUGGAUUUAGUUCAUGGUUUUGAAACUAAUUUUGAUAGAUUGUUCUGGUCCUGUCAAUAGGCGCUCCGACUCAUAUCAGUUAUGCAGGCACGCUUAUGGUGCAAGUCGCCAUGCCUGUGACAAACAUAGGCCCAAGCUCGUGGCUUGAAACUAACCAUAACCGUGAUUGACAACUGACCACACUCAUGUUCGUCACUCAACCACGUCCAUGGCAAGGAAAUCACCACACAUGUAGUGGUCCUCCCAUCACGUCUGUGAUGGGCAUCCCGCCAAGCCCGUUGCUCCUUUUCCUAUCUUUAUAAAACAAAGUAUUUACCACUUAUUGACACCUAGAAAGAAUUCAAAGCACCAAUGUCCUAGAAGUUCAUUACUAUAAUGGUGUGGAAGAGUGGCAUCCAUUAUGGUUAAUUAUGCUUCAGGUACACUAGUAGCACACAUAUACAGUAAAAUAAACCAGGCUCUAAUACUCAUUGUGGAAUCCACCAGUAAAAGACCCUGUCAAACCAUGAGUACUAAUCUGGGGCAUUGCACUAGACCGAGACAUACACAGACAUAAACACUACUAAUCCAAUACAUACACAACCAUAAAGAUAACUAAACCAUGUGAGCAGGAAUUGCAGGCAUACUCUACACGUGUGAAACCCGCCCCUAGAUGACGCAAUCGAACUACACGGUUAGAUCCAUGCAAUGCUCGUGGUUUCACUUAACAUAUCAACAUAAUAACUGACAUUAACCCAAAAUCGGGAUGUCACAACACGUCUUUAUUAGCAUUCUUAAAUUACUUAGAGGAUUGCGCGAUUCCUGGGUGGGUGACUGGUACAUAUACAUUAUCAUCAUCUAGUCUAGCUAGGCCUAUGUUAUCCUACUCAGUACAAUUGAUCACACGCUAUUGUACUGUGAUACCCUGAUUUCGGGUUGUCGUCGAUUUUGGGUUGAUUGUGUGGUCUCUAGAGUCAAGAUGUUGGGCGAGAACCGAGGCUAGCCAUAGACGUGACCGUUAUUAGCACGGGCAUGGUUGGAGGUUGAUCACGAUCGUGGCCAGUAAGGGACCACGACCAUGGCUAUAGGUUCACCAUGGGCAUGGUCAGCUUUUAACCACAUGCGUGGUGAAAAAUGUAUAUAAAACUUAUAAACUUAUCACGACUACAACUUCUCAGAAUUAAAGAACCCUAUUCUUUUGUCCCCAAAUAUUUCAUAACGAGUGGUGGUCUUUCUUAGAGGCCGAUCAAUCAAACGAGAGGACAUGAGUGGCUCACACCUCCAUCCGUGAGUAGGGAUCCAGAGAGUCAACGAGAUCACCCCAUUGAAUCUUUCAAAGGAGAAAAGAUCUAAGCACUUGGACGGCUCCUUCGGUUUAGACCCUUCAGAAAAGUGAUUAGAUGGGCUUACCCUAGAGUAGCUGGAAUCUUUGUUGAUGAACCUUGGUAGGAAAGUCGAGUAACCUAGUAUAAGCCUAGGUGUUGCGUCAAAUGAGAUCUGCUUGGGCCGCCACAAUGUCCACGACAGCAACAAGAUCUAAAUCCACGCAACGUCGCGAAUGUUUGGGAUUGGGAAGGACCAAGUGUUGGGGUGGAACAGAGGAGCCCUUGCUUAAAAUCUGUAGGAGAAAUAAUUAUCAGCAUCAUGAAAUAAGUCGCCACGGGCGUGUAAGAAGAAUGGUCACGGGGUGACCAGAGAUCCACCAAGGUUGUGGUUGAAGGGCGGCCACGGGUGUGGUCAACUAACGACUACAGGCAUGACCUGUAAAUGGCCAUGAGUAUUGUCAAAACUAUGAGAGCAACUUCUAUGGCCAUUAUUGGAGUCGACCUAAGGUAUUUUACCAUCAAACUUAUGGUGUCUAGGGGUAAACUAAAUCAGGAUUCUUUGGACAUUAAUACUACACAAUUGCGCACAAGAGGGGAAACCUAGAUAUAUAACUUUGUGGGUCAAGGCGAAGGUUUGAGAGCAAAAGGGAGAUUGACUAACCGUGGGAUUUGAGGAGGUGAGAGUAGGAGCAGGGAGAUGGUCGGUAGCGGGGCUGCUAAAGGAAGGAAGGAUUAGCGAGGGAAAGGUUUAAAUUAGAGCUAAAGGAGAAGGGUGAACAAAUGCUUAUAUUUGGACAACAAACCAGAAUGAAAGAAGAAGGGGAGGAUGUUUGGGUCGGCAAUGGCCAUGAUGGAAAGGUGUGGAGAUUUGGGGAUUUAGGGUCAAGAGGAGGUUAUGUUCUCUUUCAUAGUGAAACCACCAUGGUGUGAACGACUAACCACCACGGGCGUGAUGGGUCAGUGAUUACGGUCAUGGUUGUCUGACCACGGUGGGUGUGGUUGGCAUGUCAUCAUGUGCGUGAUUGGUAGGAUAUCAUCACACAACAUGGUGGGUUGGAGGAGCGGGCCGAGAUUUUGCCCAGGAAGUGGUUGAGCCGUGUAAAAGGGGCUUGGGGUUUUCUAGAGUUCGGGCCAACCCAGGGCAAGUUUUAGUUGAUGGAUUAGGUAGGCAAAUCAGCUCGAGAUAGGUUAGGCAGCUUGAUCUCAAGUGAACUAGUAGUAGGAAUUCAUAUGCAUGACCUUGCUAUGAACUUCUUCAAGUUCCUAGAGGAGAAUCCUAUCAUAAACCGUGUCCAUUAUGUCCAACUCUACUAGUGAAUGGGAUUUGAGCACUUUCGACACUCAAAAACUAGCAACUCUUCUCUCAUUAAUUACCAGUGUUAUUCUUGCCUCGAUUUAGUCAAUUGGAUAUAAUUGCAUUGAUAGAUUUAGGGAACGAUUAAUGAAUUAGUUGGUAACUUAGAUAACAAUCCUCAAACUCUUGCAGCUUGAACCAUAGAUCAAGUAGUUGAGUAGAAGACUAGUGAACAAACCCGAGAACAAUAACAACACUUGUUAGGUUAAGGGGUCGUGCUUAAAAUUAAGCACCUUCUUUUAAGCUCAUCCAGUUUUUUGGCACAAUCUUAAGCAAAGGAAUGCAAACGAGAGUACUUAGUUGACCUAAUUCAAUCUAUAACACAAACUAAGUUGAAAGAACAUAAUCCAAGCACAUAACUAUGAUAACAAGUAUAUAACUUGUCCAACCCCUCAUCAUGAAGGGACCAUCCUAGCAUCCAUAUACACUCUUAUCUAACAACACAAAAGGCCUAGCCAAUCAUCAUGAAACUACAACUAGAAGAAAGAGAUAUAAUCACCAUCAUUGUCUAAGUGUGAAGAAGGUGAUGAAUAUACUAAUCUUCUCUCCAAGCUCUAGUAUUCCAAGUCUUCAUUCCUUGCUCUUAAAAUGCUCCAAAUCCUCUUCAAUGGCUUCCAAUGGUGAAUGUGAGAGAGUUUCAGACGUGCGUAUUGUUAUGAAUUGAAUUGGAAGAAGUGUUUGCCUCUCUCUUCAAUUGGGAUUUUAAAACUCUACCAGACUAUCCACAUGGUGUGUCGAGUCAUAUGGCCUCCACACUCCGUGUGGCCUUUUUUCCAGACCGGGGCAAUUUUUCUUGUUUUUCUUGUAUCUCGCUUCUAUGACCUCUAUUUGACCUCUGAUACAUCUCGUUGGCUUUGUAUCAGUGCCCUCCAUCCAGCGGAUACAUGAAAUCUCAACAAAACAUGAGAAAACAAGUCAAAAGGACCAAAAUGGUACAUUCGAGAGAACACAUCACAAAACCCUUAUUUUCAUCUCAAAGGUCAAGAAUCUGUCAAACCAAAAAAUAUGUCAAUAUGGGGCUGAAUCUCAUACAAUAUAAAGUUCUAUCAUUGAUCCAUGGUGAGUUUUAGAUGAUGGAUUAGGUGGGCGGAACAGCUUGAGAUGGGUUAGGCAGGUUUCCAGGCUUUCCGUUGCGGGGACCUCAACAAAUGGGUUCACGAGGAUCGUUAGGUGUGGUUGGGAGACCUAAGGGAUGCGGUCGGUGAAUGAGGGUCUCGUUAAGGGUGGGAAAUUAGUCUCGGUUAAUUGGCUAAGAUCGAGUCACCAGACGAGUCGAUUACUAAAGUCGGUCGGGCAACGAUUGAAACUAAUUACUAAAAUCGGUUAAUUAGUGAAUCGGUUAAAACUAUCGGUUAACUCAGGGUUAAUUGAUGUUAACCGGCAAUAAAAAAUUAACCCCAAUCCCAACCCAAGCGACUUCGUCACCAUACUAGCUAGAUCAAACUCAAACCUGAAAUUAGGCUUGGUAACAGGUGGGUAUGGGGUCAGAUGGUUAUUCCCCGAUCUCCGCCCGCAAUUAUAACCGGGUUUUACCUAUCCCCCAUCCGGAAUAAGUAAUGGAUAUCGAAUCACUAUCAAUCCCUGUAUUCUUUCGGGUUUGGGUAUUCUUCGAUGUCCUGGGUUUUACCCGCCACAAUGAAUCUUUUCUUGAUAUCAAAUCAAAUUUAACUAAAACUUAAUGUAAAACAAAACCAAUUGAAUGUCAUCGAAAGGCUGCCAUUGUUCAAAACAUAAGUACUCAACAGCAUUGUGCAAGACAGCAGCAGCAAUACAACAGCAGCAAUACAGCAAGACAAAAACAAAGCAAGACAACCUAACAGCAGUAGCAAUACAACAGGACAACCUAACAGCAGCAGCAAUAUAGCAAGACAACAACAGCAAGACAGCAACAACAACAACCUUCAAAGCAGCAAGACAGCAACAGCAGCAGCAAGACAGCAAACAACAUUCAACAUCCACCUAACAGCACCAGAUUUAGCAUCCUUCGAUGUCAUUCUCAUCCUCGUAUCCAUCCAGAUUCAUCAUAGUGAAACACCCUUCCAAAGCAGUAGCAACCUUUGUAUUAUCUGAAAUACAAGUGCAGAAACAUAAAAUUAGUAAGUAAUAAUAUUGUUAUUAGAUUGAAACUCAUAAUUCAACUUUGGAAAGAAAUUUUUUACCUUGGAUCACCUCAGCUUUCAACCAACUCCUUGCACACAUCAUUGCCUCAACAGUAGUAGACAAUAAUCUACUACGGUGAGGGUCUAAAAGACGCCCAACAAAACUGAAAGCGCUUUCCGAUGCUACAGAAGUUAAAGGAACCGCACGUACAUCUCUAGCUAUUUCUUGCAGCACGAGGUAUUUUAUGCCAUUCUGUUGCCACCAACUUAGUAUUUCAAAUUCAGCAAAGAAAGGUUCCACUUCCUCACUCAAAUACUUGUCCAACUCCGUUUGAUAUGCAACUAUUUUGGCUUUUUUUCUCUGACUCACAUAAAACUUAAAAUCCAGAUCAAUUUCAGAUCUACUAGGGGCUGGAUUAGCCUUUACAAAAGUAGGAGAAUCCAUCUCCUUCUUUGUUGUGUAUUCAUGAUACAAAUCAACCAAGAUUGCCUUAAUCUUGCCACAAUCCAAUGAACUUACAAUGUCACCACAACUAAACUUAGUAGAAUAAUAAGAUAUAAUCUCCAUCUUGUAUCUUGGAUCAAGUACAAUUGCUACAACCAACAGUUCAUGAAUGGCAUCCCAAUAUUUCAUAAAUUUCAACCACAUUGAAGAAGUCAUUUUUUUAUGACAACAUCCGAGCCAACAAGCCAUGUACUCAAUUUUAUCUUCAAGUCACAAACUACUGGGAAAAAAAGAUUGGCAGUAGGAUAGUGUUCUCCAGAAAAUAACUCAGUAAUUUCUUUAAAGAUUUCUAACUUUGAACACACAAUAGAUGAGAAUUGCCAAUCAGAAUGAGUAGGCAGGCAAGUAUACUGAGAAUCCCUUUGUUUAAGACGAGAGAAAACAUCUUUAUAAGGUGUAGCAGCAUCAAGCAUGUCAUAUGUUGAAUUCCAUCUAGUUGGACAGUCAAGCACUAGAUGCCUAUCACAAUUAAUCCUUAAUUGCCUAGCAGUUUCUUCAAAGAACUCUUUCCUCUUUGUGGAGUUGCAGACCAGUACACAACAGAGUCCCUAAUCCUUUCUAUCCCAUCUUUCAAAAGUGAUAAUCCAUCUUUGACAAUUAAGUUCAAUAUAUGAGCCGAGCACCUCAUAUGUAACAUCGAACCAUUUAGCAUCAAGUAUGGAGGCAUAAGUUUCUGCUUAAUUUUGCCAAUCAUAGAGUCAUUGGUACUGCAAUUAUCUAGAGUAAUAGUCGAUACCUUUGAAUCGACAUUCCAAUCCAUCAUACAGUCUGCCAUGACUAUGGCUAACCUCUCACUUGUAUGUGGUGCAGGGACAUACAUAAACCUAACAAAAUAGGUAGCAACAAAAGUACAUUAGAACCAUAUCAAAAUUGAAUAAUCAGAAUUCAACAAAACAAGUUUACCUUAACAUAUGGCUUCUUAGUUUCCACGAAUUGUCAAUGUAGUGUGCAGUGACAGCCAUAUAACCCUUCUUUUGAGUUGUGGUUGUCCACAUAUCAGUUGUGAGUGCCACUCUUCCCUUAUUGUCAUCAAUAACCCUCUGAAUCCUACUACGUUCAGACUCAUACAAUUUCAAAAUCUCUUUCUUAAUGGUAUUACGAGAUGGGACAGUAAACAGAGGUUGUAGAGAACAAAUGAACCUCUUGAAAUACAAGUGAUCCACCAUUGAAAGUGGAUACUCGUGUACCAAGAUCGCAGCAACAAGUUCCCUCUUACAAACAUCAGAAGUAUAGGCACUAACUACCAAAUCUCUUUUUCCAAUCGUCGAAAAGCUAGCACCAAGAACCUUCUGAGUCCUAUCUCCAAUUCUUUUUUGCCAACACGUGGAUUUUUUAAAUGUGAAGUGCCGUCUUUGGAUUCACCGCAUAAUAGCUUUCUAUAGUAUUUGCAUUUAGUCUUAAGCAAAUCUUUGACUUUGAUCCUAGUGAAGUGGUUCCAUACCUCAUACUUUAACCUGCCGGUCUCAAUAACCUCAUCAUCAUUACCAUUGGGGUCAACAUCGGCAGCAACUUGAGGUGCAAGAGCACCAACUGGAGCAGCAACAACAACAUCCUCCUGCAGUGCUUGAACGGCUUGAAUCCCAUCACCAUUUUGAUUGUUCUCCAUUGUUCCUAUACGAAAAAAAAAAA